rfam:Schistosoma mattheei strain Denwood, Zambia genome assembly, scaffold: SMTD_scaffold0013138
AUCCAUAUCACGAGUCUCAAAUAGGACGAAACGCGUGUCCUGGAU